AUGGUCCGGGAAAAGGCUCCUGUGUUGCUGAACCUGCCCGUUUGUGGGUGCAGCCUUGUACCAGGCAGCCCGACCCUGACCUAGAAUAAAUUCCCGGGAGCAGUUUUUCCUGGGGUUUGAAUUUGCAGUAACAGGUGUGAACAUUCUAGCAGCAGUUUGAUGAUCAUGUAUGAUACUGCAAACAGGA
ensembl:scaRNA small Cajal body-specific RNA 16